AUGGCCAUGGCCUCCCCGUUCUCCCAGGCGUCGGCCGCCGCCGCCUCGCCGGCCCUCCCCUUCUCCGUCUCCACCUCCCGCCCUCUCUCCCUCACCACCGCCGCAACCGCCGCCGUCUCAGCCCGGGCUCCGUGCAGGGGCAGCAGAGGAUUCCGCCGCGGCCGCUUCGCCGUCUGCAAUGUCGCUGCCCCCUCCGCCGCCGAGCUGGAGACCAAGCCGGCGGCGGCCGCGAAGGAGAGCCAGCGGCCGGUGUACCCGUUCCCGGCGAUCGUGGGGCAGGACGAGAUGAAGCUCUGCCUGCUGCUCAACGUCAUCGACCCCAAGAUCGGCGGCGUCAUGAUAAUGGGCGACCGGGGCACCGGCAAGUCCACCACCGUCCGCUCCCUCGUCGACCUGCUCCCGGACAUCAGCGUCGUGGUCGGCGACCCGUUCAACUCCGACCCCUUCGACCCCGAGGUCAUGGGCCCCGAGGUCCGCGACCGCCUCCUCAAGGGCGAGGACCUUCCCGUCACCACCACCAAGAUCACCAUGGUCGACCUGCCCCUCGGCGCCACCGAGGACAGGGUGUGCGGCACCAUCGACAUUGAGAAGGCGCUCACCGAAGGUGUCAAGGCGUUCGAGCCAGGCCUGCUCGCCAAGGCCAACAGGGGGAUACUGUAUGUGGACGAGGUCAAUCUGCUGGACGACCAUCUGGUGGAUGUUCUGCUGGAUUCCGCGGCUUCCGGGUGGAACACGGUGGAGAGGGAGGGCAUCUCCAUCUCCCACCCUGCGCGGUUCAUCCUCAUUGGGUCCGGUAACCCGGAGGAAGGCGAGCUCCGGCCGCAGCUGCUGGACCGGUUCGGGAUGCACGCGCAGGUCGGCACGGUCAGGGACGCGGAGCUGAGGGUGAAGAUUGUGGAGGAGAGGGCUCGGUUCGACAAGGACCCGAAAACGUUCCGGCAGUCCUACUUGGAGGAGCAAGGGAAGCUCCAGGACCAGAUCACAUCCGCUCGGAGCAACCUCGGUUCUGUGCAGCUCGACCAUGAUCUCCGGGUUAAGAUAUCCCAGGUGUGUUCUGAGCUGAAUGUGGAUGGGCUGAGAGGAGACAUUGUCACUAACAGGGCUGCCAAGGCGUUGGCUGCCCUAAAGGGAAGGGACAUCGUGACAGUGGAGGACAUUGCCACCGUGAUUCCCAACUGUUUGAGGCAUCGGCUCCGUAAAGACCCACUCGAAUCGAUCGACUCGGGCUUGCUUGUAGUUGAGAAGUUUUAUGAAGUCUUUGGCUAG
rnacentral:rRNA from 1 species